rnacentral:rRNA from 1 species
GACGAACGCUGGCGGCGUGCCUAAUACAUGCAAGUCGAGCGAUGAAGAUUGGUGCUUGCACCAAUUUGAAGAGCAGCGAACGGGUGAGUAACGCGUGGGUAAUCUGCCUUUGAGCGGGGGACAACAUUUGGAAACGAAUGCUAAUACCGCAUAACAACUUUAAACAUAAGUUUUAAGUUUGAAAGAUGCAAUUGCAUCACUCAAGGAUGAUCCCGCGUUGGAUUAGCUAGUUGGUUAGGUAAAGGCUCAACAAGGCAGUGAUACAUAGCCUGCCUGAGAGGGUGGUCGGCCACAUUGGGACUGAGACAAGGCCCAAAAUCCUACGGGAAGCAGCAGUAGGGAAUCUUCGGCAAUGGACGAAAGUCUGACCGAGCAACGCCGCGUGAGGGGAGAAGGUUUUCGGAUCGUAAAACUCUGUUGGUAGAGAAGAAAGUUGGUGAGAGUGGAAAGCUCAUCAAGUGACGGUAACUACCGAGAAAGGGACGGCUAACUACGUG